CUGCCUGGUAGUGGGGGAUAACGUUCGGAAACGGACGCUAAUACCGCAUACGUCCUACGGGAGAAAGCAGGGGACCUUCGGGCCUUGCGCUAUCAGAUGAGCCUAGGUCGGAUUAGCUAGUUGGUGAGGUAAUGGCUCACCAAGGCGACGAUCCGUAACUGGUCUGAGAGGAUGAUCAGUCACACUGGAACUGAGACACGGUCCAGACUCCUACGGGAGGCAGCAGUGGGGAAUAUUGGACAAUGGGCGAAAGCCUGAUCCAGCCAUGCCGCGUGUGUGAAGAAGGUCUUCGGAUUGUAAAGCACUUUAAGUUGGGAGGAAGGGCAUUAACCUAAUACGUUAGUGUUUUGACGUUACCGACAGAAUAAGCACCGGCUAACUCUGUGCCAGCAGCCGCGGUAAUACAGAGGGUGCAAGCGUUAAUCGGAAUUACUGGGCGUAAAGCGCGCGUAGGUGGUUUGUUAAGUUGGAUGUGAAAUCCCCGGGCUCAACCUGGGAACUGCAUUCAAAACUGACUGACUAGAGUAUGGUAGAGGGUGGUGGAAUUUCCUGUGUAGCGGUGAAAUGCGUAGAUAUAGGAAGGAACACCAGUGGCGAAGGCGACCACCUGGACUAAUACUGACACUGAGGUGCGAAAGCGUGGGGAGCAAACAGGAUUAGAUACCCUGGUAGUCCACGCCGUAAACGAUGUCAACUAGCCGUUGGAAGCCUUGAGCUUUUAGUGGCGCAGCUAACGCAUUAAUUUGACCG
rnacentral:rRNA from 1 species